GUGUCAAAACGCCUGACUAUUUCCAAAUUUCAACUAGAUCAACAAGUUAAGAUACAAUUCAGGUUCCUUGUUCCAAAAAAUAAGAGCAUUUGAAUAAAUUGUGAAUAAACGGCAGCGACUUGACGGCACACCGGUUUUUGCUUCUUGUUCGGUCCACAAAAUUACACUAAAAUCGAAGCCCGAGAUCUCCAAAUGGGGACCUAAAAUUACGCUGAAAUGUGCUUGGCUGUAAUGAUUUAUACUUAUUUUCAGAAGAUCUGAAGAAAAACCUGCGGGUAUCAAUCUAUAUUUGGCGCGAGUUAAGAUUUUCUGGAGCCCAUAAUCAAUGAUUU